rnacentral:rRNA from 1 species
GAGUUUGAUUAUGGCUCAGGAUGAACGCUGGCGGCAUGCCUAACACAUGCAAGUUGAACGAGAAGUUCUGGAGGGAGUCUUCGGACGAACGAAGGAAUGGAAAGUAGCGAACGGGUGAGUAACGCGUGGGCAACCAACCUUACACAGGGGGGAUAACGCAGAGAAAUUUGCGCUAAUACCGCAUAAGCGCACAGUACCGCAUGGUACGGUGUGAAAAACUCCGGUGGUGUAAGACGGGCCCGCGUCUGAUUAGUUAGUUGGUGAGGUAAAAGCUCACCAAGGCGACGAUCAGUAGCCGACCUGAGAGGGUGAUCGGCCACAUUGGGACUGAGACACGGCCCAAACUCCUACGGGAGGCAGCAGUGGGGGAUAUUGCACAAUGGAGGGAACUCUGAUGCAGUAAUGCCGCGUGAAGGAAGACGGUUUUCGGAUUGUAAACUUCUAUCAGCAGGGAAGAAAAUGACG